GACGAACGCUGGCGGCGCGCUUAACACAUGCAAGUCGAGCGAGAACCAGGGCUUCGGCCCUGGGGAAAGCGGCGAACGGGUGAGUAACACGUGAGUAACCUGUCCUCGGCACCGGGAUAGCCCGGGGAAACCCGGAUUAAUACCGGAUGGCCUUUCGAGUCUUCGGGCUCGUCAGAAAAGGGAGCUUCGGCCUCCGGCCGAGGAGGGACUCGCGGCGGAUUAGCUUGUUGGUGGGGUAACGGCUCACCAAGGCGACGACCGUAGCUGGUCUGAGAGGACGAUCAGCCACACUGGGGACUGAGACACGGCCCAGACUCCUACGGGAGGCAGCAGUGGGGAAUCUUGCGCAAUGGGCGAAAGCCUGACGCAGCGACGCCGCGUGCGGGAAGAAGGCCUCGG
rnacentral:rRNA from 1 species